GUAGUAGCUUAUCGCGGAGAAGCAGUAGAAGUAGCGAGGCUAGGUUUGAGUAAGCAGCUCAUUCAUCAAUCGAUCUUUUGACAUUCAAGUCGGUGAGUUCCACUAAUAACUAGACGUCAGGUGUGCUGUGAACGCGUUUGCUAAUUUAGUACAUUAAAACUUCCUCCUGGCUGAGCCUUUGCUCGCCCACCUGUCCUGGUGAAACUGGAAAGGACUACGAAAAAAAAACAUGAAAACAUUUAUUAUUAACAAAGGCAAAAAAUUAAAAAGGACAUCUACCGGAACAAACCAACUAGAAGUUUUUUAAUGUCCUAGUGACAAGCUAUAGAUUGGACCUGCCUUUUGUGUUCGAAGACCUUUUAAUAGCGUAGCUCCGGAAAAUUCGGAGUCAGACCGGACCGAGAUGCUCAGACACACACAUAAACGUUACUUAAUAUUGGUACCGAAUAUUUCGACUCAAAAUAGAAGUCUCUGCAGCUGAUCACCAAACACGAAAGCGUGGAAACAUCCAGCCCGCGUUGGAAAUGAGGUUAAAGUCACAAUUUUAUUGCCAAAAACUUCAUUCACUAUACCUACCUCUAAAUCCAACCAAAGGAGAUCUUAAGCUAUUAGUAGUUACGGUGUCAUUUUAAUUUUAUUAACCGCAGUUUGUUAAUACUUUCAGUAACUGCUGCCAUCUGUUGUUUCGAUAUAAAAACUGACUAGAACUCGACUAGAAGCACUUAUUCAGUUUUAUGAUAUCCUGGUGGCAUCUUGAAGAGUUGACGCGUGUUCGGAGUAUCGAGUGUGCGCCCAACGAGAUCUUUCAAUUAACAUUGUGAAGUGAUCACUCCCGUUGGCCUCUUAGAAACCAUUAAGGGACCCUACUGCUGGAGAGGACGAGGACUUGGAGAACUUGGAUCUAAAUAAGCAAAUUAGUUAUGGAAUCCAAAAGUGGCUUCAUUCAUGUUGUGACUCCUAUGGGUUCCGGCCGCCACUUAAUGAAGAACUCGUUCUCUCCACUCCGCGAAGAAUAAAUAAUAAA